GCGGCCGUGGCGGAACUGGCAGACGCGCACGUUUGAGGGGCGUGUGGGCAACCGUACGAGUUCAAGUCUCGUCGGCCGCACCA
rnacentral:tRNA from 1 species